rnacentral:rRNA from 1 species
UGGGGAAUAUUGGACAAUGGGGGAAACCCUGAUCCAGCCAUGCCGCGUGUGUGAAGAAGGCCUUCGGGUUGUAAAGCACUUUCAGUGGGGAGGAAGGCUUGGUGGUUAAUACCCAUCAGGAUUGACGUUACCCACAGAAGAAGCACCGGCUAACUCCGUGCCAGCAGCCGCGGUAAUACGGAGGGUGCGAGCGUUAAUCGGAAUUACUGGGCGUAAAGCGCGCGUAGGCGGUUUGUUAAGCCAGAUGUGAAAGCCCCGGGCUCAACCUGGGAACUGCAUUUGGUACUGGCAGGCUAGAGUACGGUAGAGGGUGGUGGAAUUUCCAGUGUAGCGGUGAAAUGCGUAGAGAUUGGAAGGAACAUCAGUGGCGAAGGCGGCCACCUGGACUGAUACUGACGCU